rnacentral:rRNA from 1 species
GAUGAACGCUGGCGGCGUGCCUAAUACAUGCAAGUCGAGCGAACAGACGAGGAGCUUGCUCCUCUGACGUUAGCGGCGGACGGGUGAGUAACACGUGGAUAACCUACCUAUAAGAUUGGGAUAACUUCGGGAAACCGGAGCUAAUACCGGAUCAUAUAUUGAACCGCAUGGUUCAAUAGUGAAAGACGGUUUUGCUGUCACUUAUAGAUGGAUCCGCGCCGCAUUAGCUAGUUGGUAAGGUAACGGCUUACCAAGGCAACGAUGCGUAGCCGACCUGAGAGGGUGAUCGGCCACACUGGAACUGAGACACGGUCCAGACUCCUACGGGAGGCAGCAGUAGGGAAUCUUCCGCAAUGGGCGAAAGCCUGACGGAGCAACGCCGCGUGAGUGAUGAAGGUCUUCGGAUCGUAAAACUCUGUUAUUAGGGAAGAACAAAUGUGUAAGUAACUAUGCACGUCUUGACGGUACCUAAUCAGAAAGCCACGGCUAACUACGUG